AUAAAGAUAUUAGUGCUAUGUUGCUCGUUAAUUUAGUUAAUUUUCUACUAUUUUAUAUGUAAGUACAAAAAAUGCUCUUAAAGUGCUCUAAAGUACACCUUACAGUGCUCUUAAAGCGCAUCCUAGUGUUGUCCCCGGCUUGAUAUAUUACCAGAUGCUUGAAGUAGUUAAGACUGUCGGUGAUCUAUAAGAGUGCUCCAGAGGACUGUACUGGCAGUGUAUUCAGUGCAGCCCACAAACUGUGAGAAUAAUGAAAGCUUCAAAGGUCAUCUACCAGAUCCUCCAAUGAACAAGGUCCGCAUAUGGUGCAUACUAGCCUAGUUCAUCACAGCAACUACAAGGCCAGUGACAAGUCACUCAGUACUCUAGAGAUAAUGGGAAUUGUGAUUGGGGCGCUAUUGGCCAUCGUUAUUGUGGCUGCCUUAAUCGAAAUUCAUAGAAAGCGCAACACUAGCCCUCCACAACGACCCGAAGAACUGAAGCUUAAUCCUGUUAUUGAAGAUCAACAAGCUAAAUUAAAGUAGCUGAUUGGAGCAGAUUUCGUAUGACUGUGAAAUUAAAAAAAUAAAAAAAAAAAAUAAAUAGUAAAAUAAAACAAAUAAAUAAAUAAAAAAGGAAAGAAAGAAAGGGAUUUAAAAAAAGGACAGUGUCGUGCUGUCGGAUCGUGUCGUCUCCUGGAGCCCAGUUGUUCUUAACUAAGACAACAACAAAAAUCCGGUUUGGGACCGGGGCUGUCGCUGGGCAAUUUUAUCAACACUUAUAGCUCUGUUAUUAGAGUUCGGAACAUUUUGUCACAUCCCGGUAUUUUAAUUUAUAUCCCAGUAGGUAAAUAAUAAGUGUAUUUAUUCCAGAUAUAGUUUUUAUUGUAAAAUAGAAUUUUAGAAUUUGUAAUAAAAAAUAAUUUCCUUGUA